rnacentral:lncRNA from 1 species
GUGGUAUCGGGGACUCGGCCGGCAUCGUUAGCACAGAAGAUCCUCAGUCAUAGUUAACAAAAUGGAAAAAAAUUAGCUGUGUUUUUAAGAUUCCAGUGGUGGCCAUCAACUGCUCAGGAAAGCAGCCCAGAAUCACUUCACAACAGGUUUCCAAAGGAUCAUCAUUCAUCAGCACAGAAGGGUGGGAAAGAGAAGGCUGUUCAAAUUCUGAAAAGCCAGAGCUGCAAAGGAGGUCAAAGAUGCAGUGCAGUUGGCCCACUCAGUAGAGUUUCACUAGUGGUUCUGAUGUGGACUGAAGAUUACACGCUGGAUUGAAGUGGCCGGUCUGGAGCAGCUGUAGUUCUUCAUUCUUGCUGAUUGUGGACGAGUAAGAGCCCGUGUUGGCCCCGAUCGGCGAUCGCUGGCCAAAGCCCACCACCAGUUUGGUGAUAGGCGUUGGCUGUGAUAUCUAGUGUCGCCUAUGUGUGAAAAGGACAAGUUGAUAACAAAACCUGUUGCGCCAUGUUAUUAACCCGCGCCCGGGUGGCCCUCAGCCAACUUGGGGGGGGGGGAGAGGUGUAUUCGGCCACACCAGGUUAUCUUGGAAUGUAGCAAAGCUGGAAAGACGCAGUAAAAUCAAUCUAUAGACCGCUAUUUUUCUUCAGAAUCAUACAGGUCAUUUUUGAUCAGGUCAUCGCUGAGGUCACUGGAGGUCACCAAAAUUAAAAUGAUGACGAAUUUUGCCCCCCGAUUUUGACAACUUCACAAAUUGGUUCAUAAUUCGGGAACCAAAGAAGCUACAGCGCCGCGGAAAAGCGAAUUCGAUAGCUCUUUCGAAAAUCUUUCAGGUUCUCAGAUUUGAGCUAAGGUCAACUAGGGUUAAGCCUCCAAAGGGCAAAAACUGAACAAUCGGCUUGCUUCGGAAGUCGUCUUUUCUUU